ACGAAUAAACCUGGUGGAUUGCAGCUGACCCCCUCGGGGGUACGUGCUCGUCUGCCAUCUUUAUCUUUCCACCUGUGCACACACUGCAGUCCUGGGAGGAAGGCACGAGAGUGGGGGGCAGUCUUGCCCCUCGCCCGGAUGCUGGAGUUCUGGUCUGCGUUUAUCAACACACCCCAAUGUAACCGUAACAGAAUGAAAUCAAUGGGUCCUUGCACCUAUAACAAAAAGCUUAUA
rnacentral:misc_RNA from 1 species